UACUUUUCUCUAUGGUAGUAUGGAAGUUUCCGCACCCUGGUGUCUAACUGUCUACAGACAGAGACGGAUUUAUAAUUUUCUUUUCACCUGUUUCGUAACAUUAGGUUAUGCGUACAGAAACUUAGUUUAUUGGUGUACCGAUUCAAAAUGUUUUUGAAAUCCAGACGGUUACUUGGUUUCGGGGUAAAUUAUUGUAGAAUUUCAUAUUUACAAAAAGUCAACUCAUCCUCUCAGAGUGAAGGAAUAACUAUCAGUGAAAAUUGUGCGAAGAAAUUACAACAGCUAUGCGAAGGCAACAAUAACUUUUUGAGACUGUGUGUAGAAAGUGGAGGGUGUUCUGGUUUCCAGUAUAAAUUUGAUCUCGACAAUAAAAUUGCUGAAGACGAUAGGGUGUUUGAACGAGAUGGUGUUAAAGUGGUAAUUGAUGAAACAUCAUUGGAUUAUAUCAGAGGUUCUACCGUUGAUUACCAUACAGAGCUAAUAAGAUCUGCAUUCAGAGUUGUACAAAAUCCUAAUGCUGAUCUUGGGUGUUCAUGCGGUGCAAGCUUUUCAAUCAAAAUUGAUUGAAAUAGUUUCAGAAAUCAGGAUAUGGUUUGGAUCAAAUGGUUCAGAUAAUAGAAGACAGGUUUUAAUGUAUAAUUUUAAUUUAUUGAUAAUGAAUGUUGCAUUUCAUAACAACAUUUUGUUAUUGCUAUAUAAAUUAUGAUUAAUAAAUAGGUUUAAUUUAUAUUUUUUAGAAACCCAUAUUUGUAGAAGACACACUUGCACUAUUAAGUUAUAAACUUUGAUUUUUACAUUACCUACUUAUCUACAAUAGUGCUUCAUUCAAAUGAUUAAAAAGUUCUUAAAAAAUGGUAGGCUAGUCAGUAUGAUAU